rnacentral:rRNA from 1 species
UACGUAGGUGGCAAGCGUUGUCCGGGUUUACUGGGCGUAAAGAGCGCGCAGGCGGUUGGAUAAGUCGAAUGUGAAAGCCCCCGGCUCAACUGGGGAGGGUCAUUCGAUACUGUCCGACUCGAAGGCAGGAGAGGGAAGCGGAAUUCCAGGUGUAGCGGUGAAAUUCGUAGAUAUCAAGCGGAACACCGGUGGCGAAGGCGGCCUUCUGGACGAUGACUGACGCUGAGACGCGAAAGCGUGGGGAGCAAACAGG